AGCGUGAAAGUCCCUUCAGGGGCGAGUAAAGCGGCAGACGGGUGAGUAAUACAUAGGUAAUCUACCUUCGAGCUUGGGAUAACCCUGCGAAAGUGGGGCUAAUACCGGAUAAGACCACACGGCGUAAGUCGCGUGGUAAAAGGUGGCUUAUUUUUUAAAUGAGCUAUCACUUGAGGAUGAGCCUGUGGCCUAUCAGCUUGUUGGUGAGGUAAGAGCUUACCAAGGCUAUGACGGGUAGCUGGUCUGAGAGGACGACCAGCCACACUGGGACUGAGACACGGCCCAGACUCCUACGGGAGGCAGCAGUGGGGAAUAUUGGGCAAUGGGCGCAAGCCUGACCCAGCGACGCCGCGUGGGUGAUGAAGGCCUUCGGGUUGUAAAGCCCUGUCAUGUGGAAAGAACAGUCCCGUGGUGAAUAUCCACGGGAUUUGACGGUACCACAGGAGGAAGCACCGGCUAACUCCGUGCCAGCAGCCGCGGUAAUACGGAGGGUGCAAGCGUUGUUCGGAAUUAUUGGGCGUAAAGGGCGCGUAGGCGGUUGUGAAAGUCAGAUGUGAAAUACUUCGGCUCAACUGAAGAACUGCAUCUGAAACUUCAUAACUCGAGUACAGGAGAGGGAAACGGAAUUCCCGGUGUAGAGGUGAAAUUCGUAGAUAUCGGGAGGAACCCAGUGGCGAAGGCGGUUUCCUGGCCUGAUUCUGACGC
rnacentral:rRNA from 1 species